rnacentral:rRNA from 1 species
UACGUAGGGCGCAAGCGUUGUCCGGAAUUAUUGGGCGUAAAGAGCUCGUAGGCGGUUUGUCGCGUCGGAUGUGAAAGCCCGGGGCUUAACCCCGGGUCUGCAUUCGAUACGGGCAGACUAGAGUGUGGUAGGGGAGAUCGGAAUUCCUGGUGUAGCGGUGAAAUGCGCAGAUAUCAGGAGGAACACCGGUGGCGAAGGCGGAUCUCUGGGCCAUUACUGACGCUGAGGAGCGAAAGCGUGGGGAGCAAACAGG